rnacentral:rRNA from 1 species
UACGUAGGGGGCAAGCGUUGUCCGGAAUCAUUGGGCGUAAAGAGCGUGUAGGCGGUCCGGUAAGUCGGUUGUGAAAGUCCAGGGCUCAACCCUGGGAUGCCGACCGACACUGUCGGACUAGAGUUCGGAAGAGGCGAGUGGAAUUCCCGGUGUAGCGGUGAAAUGCGCAGAUAUCGGGAGGAACACCUAUGGCGGAAAGCAGCUCUCUGGGACGUUACUGGACGCUGAG